rnacentral:rRNA from 1 species
ACGUAAUAGAUACCCGGGUAGUCCACGCCCUAAACGAUGUCUACUAGUUGUUGGUGGAGUAAAAUCCAUGAGUAAACGCAGCUAAACGCGUGAAGUAGACCGCCUGGGGAGUACGGUCGCAAGAUUAAAACUCAAAUGAAUUGACGGGGCCCGCACAAGCGGUGGAUUAUGUGGAUUAAAUUCGAUGCAACGCGAAAAACCUUAACCUGGCCUUGACAUGUAACGAACUUUCCAGAGAUGGAUUGGUGCUCGAAAGAGAACGUUAACACAGGUGCUGCAUGGCUGUCGUCAGCCCGUGUCGUGAGAUGUU